rnacentral:tRNA from 1 species
GCCUGGGUGGCUUAGUUGGUUAGGUGUCUGACUUCUGCUCAGGUCAUGAUUUCACGGUUUGUGAGUUAAUGUCCCACAUCGGGCU